AACGAACGCUGGCGGCAUGCCUAACACAUGCAAGUCGAACGAGGCCUUCGGGUCUAGUGGCGCACGGGUGCGUAACGCGUGGGAACCUGCCCUUAGGUUCGGAAUAACUCCCCGAAAGGGGUGCUAAUACCGGAUAAUUUCUUCGGACCAAAGGUUUAUCGCCUUUGGAUGGGCCCGCGUUGGAUUAGCUAGUUGGUAGGGUAAAAGCCUACCAAGGCGACGAUCCAUAGCUGGUCUGAGAGGAUGAUCAGCCACACUGGGACUGAGACACGGCCCAGACUCCUACGGGAGGCAGCAGUGGGGAAUAUUGGACAAUGGGCGAAAGCCUGAUCCAGCAAUGCCGCGUGAGUGAUGAAGGCCUUAGGGUUGUAAAGCUCUUUUACCCGGGAUGAUAAUGACAGUACCGGGAGAAUAAGCUCCGGCUAACUCCGUG
rnacentral:rRNA from 1 species